UCCUGCCUGAAAAGCGUUUCUGAUUUUUUUCCCCUUUCUUUUUCAUCCUUCCAUUUCACCUGCGGUAAUUAUUUCCGCUCUGGAUCAGAACGGGUAGGGCAAGAAAAAUCGACUCCAGGCAAAGGUUAAUACAGCAAGCUACUGCGGAAUGCCCUGAGAGCCAGUCACCUUCCAGAACAUCUGAAGUGUUAGACAUCUAAGAACUAAUUCUUCCAACCUGUGAGAAUCAAGACAGUCUCUCCUGAAAUAGUAACUGCGGCGCAAGCAAGCUGGAAAGAACAAGAUAUCCCUGGAAACAUGCUUAUGAAUCAGCACACAUUAAAAUAACUGUGAAUGUAAACACCUGAAGGUGCUACCUUGGAAGCUCAUACUCAUAGGUUCUAGUUCUUCAUUGGUUCACGGCGUUGGAUACGGGCUGGGACUGAGCCGUGCUUCAGGAAGUGUGGAGCUCGCUCUCUGUUAGAACCGAUCCUGACAACGAACCAGACUGCGGCGAUGUCGUUUUGGGGUAAACAUCUGAAAAGCUAUUGCAUUGAAACCCAAAAGGAAUCAUAUUUUUAAAAAGUUUGCCUAUAUGGCCUGGACAACGUACAUGCCUGGUAUCUUCGGGAGCCGGAAGAGGGUGUCAGAUCCCUUCGGACUGGAGCUACAGUAAUGAGUCAUCACGUGGGCACUGGGAAUCAAACCCAGGUCCCCUGGAAGAGCAGUCAGUGCCCUUAACCAUUGAGCAUCUCCUUGGCCCCAAGCACCGUGUUUUUCUUUAUCACAUUUAUUUAUUGUUAUUUAUUGUGUGCUUAUUUGAUUGUGUACGUGUGUGAGGACGCCCAGGGCACGUGUGGAGGUCUGAGGACAACCAGAACUUGCAACAAUCUUUUCUCUCCUUCCCCAACGGGGGUUCCAAGAAGCCUCGACAGCAGACAUCUCUGCCUACUCAGCCAUCUUGCCAGUCCCAUAUUUAAUUUUUUUUGAAGUAGAAAAAGAAAGUGUUAUUGCUGUUUGAAAAUAAAGAGGAAAGCAUGUGAUUUACAGAUA